UAUGAUGCUUAUGCAAUAUCAGCAUGUUUCAGUGAUUUCUAUUGGACCUUUUGGCCCGAUGACUGUUGAAUCCGUUAUCUCAGUAAUCAAAGCUGCUUACUCUUACAUGAUGCUGAUGCGGACAUACAAAUAGUCAACUACGUUUAAUCCUAUGCGCUUACUAAAUAUUAGUUGGAAUGAACUUUAGUUGUGGCAAACCACUUUGAUUAGACGCCUAGUUACACACGACACAAAGAACUAUCGACCAAUUUUGUCCACUGUCGGUAGCAAACAGAAUAUUUAUACAUCUUGUCGAAACAAAACUAGAGAAUAAAAAUGAUUAUAUAACCUUU